rnacentral:rRNA from 2 species
GAUACGGCCCAGACUCCUACGGGAGGCAGCAGUGGGGAAUAUUGCACAAUGGGCGGAAGCCUGAUGCAGCAACGCCGCGUGCGGGAUGACGGCCUUCGGGUUGUAAACCGCUUUCGCCUGUGACGAAGCGUGAGUGACGGUAAUGGGUAAAGAAGCACCGGCUAACUACGUGCCAGCAGCCGCGGUGAUACGUAGGGUGCGAGCGUUGUCCGGAUUUAUUGGGCGUAAAGGGCUCGUAGGUGGUUGAUCGCGUCGGAAGUGUAAUCUUGGGGCUUAACCCUGAGCGUGCUUUCGAUACGGGUUGACUUGAGGAAGGUAGGGGAGAAUGGAAUUCCUGGUGGAGCGGUGGAAUGCGCAGAUAUCAGGAGGAACACCAGUGGCGAAGGCGGUUCUCUGGGCCUUUCCUGACGCUGAGGAGCGAAAGCGUGGGGAGCGAACAGGCUUAGAUACCCUGGUAGUCCACGCUGUAAACGGUGGGUACUAGGUGUGGGGUCCAUUCCACGGGUUCCGUGCCGUAGCUAACGCUUUAAGUACCCCGCCUGGGGAGUACGGCCGCAAGGCUAAAACUCAAAGGAAUUGACGGGGCCCCGCACAAGCGGCGGAGCAUGCGGAUUAAUUCGAUGCAACGCGUAGAACCUUACCUGGGUUUGACAUGGAUCGGGAGUGCUCAGAGAUGGGUGUGCCUCUUUUGGGGUCGGUUCACAGGUGGUGCAUGGCUGUCGUCAGCUCGUGUCGUGAGAUGUUGGGUUAAGUCCCGCAACGAGCGCAACCC